rnacentral:rRNA from 1 species
AUUGAACGCUGGCGGCAGGCUUAACACAUGCAAGUCGAGCGAGCGGCGGACGGGUGAGUAAUGUCUGGGAAACUGCCUGAUGGAGGGGGCUAACUACUGGAAACGGUAGCUAAUACCGCAUACCAUCAGAUGUGCCAAGAUGGGAUUAGCUAGUAGGUGGGGGAAUGGCUCACCUAGGCGACGAUCCCUAGCUGGUCUGAGAGGAUGACCAACCACACUGGAUCCGAGACACGAUCCAGACUCCUACGUGAGGCAGCAGUAGGGAAUAUUGCACAAUGGGCGCAAGCCUGAUGCAGCCAUGCCUCGUGUGUGAAGAAGGCCUUCUGGUUGUAAAGCGCUUUCAGCGAGUAGGCGUUACUCGCAGAAGAAGCACCGGCUAACUCCGUUCCAGCCGCCGCGGUAAUUC